ensembl:lncRNA
CAGCCAUGUCGCAAACGACGUAGAAUACAAAUACAUUUCUAAGAUUUUCUUAAUUUCGCGAGUAUUUUUUCCUGUAUUUUAAAUUACACUUCACUGAGAUAAACGGAUGAAAGACUGAUUUGCGAGAAAAUGACUUCAGCUAUGUACCUAAACGACUAUCGAUUAUCCACCUUUUUCCUCAACGCGGAAGUGAGCCUAUUGGUGAGACUUUCGUUUCAUUAGCCGCUAUAGGUAAAUAACGAUAAGAAUAACAACGUGCAGUAAACAGCAAAACUGUUUGCAGUACAAACUAGUGUUCUUUAUUAAGAUAACAGAUUAAAAUAAUGAUAGAACACAUCAACUGUUUUGUAAAGCUAAAAAUAAGGUUUACCACUAAAAAACAAUCAACAAGUACAACCUAAUUCACAUGUGACGUGAGUAUUAGGCACGUCUCUCCAAGUCUAGCCAACGUGCGCAUCGGCUAGCUUUUCAAUACUUUUUUCUUCGCGUGAUUAAGAGGAAAUGCAUGUGUUUUAAACCUAAUAACCUUUAAGUUGCACGUUAAAAAAAAAAAAAAAAAAAAACCCGCUGCAGUUCUCGCUCCUGCAGGAGCCUCUAUCUAUAUCUCUCCGCUCCCACAGGAGCUUUUCCCUAUUUUCUCCACUGCCGCUGCAGUGUCCGCUUCCGCAGGAACCUAUAUCUAUAUUUCUCCACUCCCACAGGAGCUUUUCCCUAUUUUCUCCACUGCCGCUGCAGUGUCCGUUCCCGCAGGAGCCUCUAUUUAUAUUUCUCCACUGCCGCUGCAGUUCUUGCUCCCGCAGGAGCCUCUAUCUAUAUUUCUCCACUGCCGCUGCAGUUUCUUGCUCCCGCAGGAGCCUCUAUCUAUAUUUCUCCACUGCUGCAGCAGCGAACGUUUUCACAGAAGCCAAGGAAGGAGAAAGAGAGAAAAAAAAAAAAAAAAAAAAAAAAAAACCUGGCCCUUAUCAAACAAUAGCCUUUAAAAUUACCUGAAAUACAUAUAUAAUUGCAAUGAGGCCUCGGUGAUUGGUUUAAAUGAGGUAUGAAAAGCAAUUAACGAUACCGUUCUAUUGAACAAACUUAACGUACUUUAAACAACAUAAUGUACAUGCAUUGUCAAAAGCCUUCAAAUGGCACCAACUUCCCGAUGAUUGUUUCUCCAUGUCACUGUGCAAUUUAAUCCUCGUUUGGCUAAACAUUUAAUUCAAAUGUACACUUAAUCUUGAAUUUUUAAACAAUUCUUUACAACAGAGGUGCUACGGCAAUCAUAAAUCCUUGAAGGUGGAAAUCAAAAGUUGCCAUUUUUCAUCCGAGCCCUCUUGAUGUAAAAAAUAAAUAAAUAAAAAUUAAUAAUAAUUUUACUUAC